rnacentral:rRNA from 1 species
AGAGUUUGAUCAUGGCUCAGGAUGAACGCUAGCGGCAGGCUUAAUACAUGCAAGUCGAGGGGCAGCACGGCAGCAAUGCUGGUGGCGACCGGCGCACGGGUGCGUAACGCGUAUGCAACCUACCUUUGACAGUGGGAUAGCCCCGAGAAAUCGGGAUUAAUACCGCAUAACAAUGCGAUUUGGCAUCAGAUUGCAUUUAAAACUCCGGUGGUCAAAGAUGGGCAUGCGUGACAUUAGCUGGUUGGUAAGGUAACGGCUUAACAAGGCGACGAUGUCUAGGGGUUCUGAGAGGAUGAUCCCCCACACUGGUACUGAGACACGGACCAGACUCCUACGGGAGGCAGCAGUAAGGAAUAUUGGUCAAUGGGCGCAAGCCUGAACCAGCCAUGCCGCGUGCAGGAAGACGGCCUUAUGGGUUGUAAACUGCUUUUAAUCAGGAAUAAACCCCGGUUCGUGAGCCGGGUUGAAGGUACUGGUUGAAUAAGCACCGGCUAACUCCGUG